CUGAGACACGGACCAGACUCCUACGGGAGGCAGCAGUGAGGAAUAUUGGUCAAUGGCCGCAGGGCUGAACCAGCCAAGUCGCGUGAGGGAUGACGGUCCUAUGGAUCGUAAACCUCUUUUGUCAGGGAGCAAAGGGCGCCACGUGUGGCGCUUUGCGAGUACCUGAAGAAAAAGCAUCGGCUAACUCCGUGCCAGCAGCCGCGGUAAUACGGAGGAUGCGAGCGUUAUCCGGAUUUAUUGGGUUUAAAGGGUGCGCAGGCGGAAUGUCAAGUCAGCGGUAAAAUUUCGGGGCUCAACCCCGUCGUGCCGUUGAAACUGGCGUUCUUGAGUGAGCGAGAAGUAUGCGGAAUGCGUGGUGUAGCGGUGAAAUGCAUAGAUAUCACGCAGAACUCCGAUUGCGAAGGCAGCAUACCGGCGCUCAACUGACGCUCAUGCACGAAAGCGUGGGUAUCGAACAGGAUUAGAUACCCUGGUAGUCCACGCAGUAAACGAUGAAUACUAACUGUCCGGGCAGAAUGAUGCCUGG
rnacentral:rRNA from 1 species